AUUGAACGCUGGCGGCAUGCCUUACACAUGCAAGUCGAACGGCAGCACGGGAGCAAUCCUGGUGGCGAGUGGCGAACGGGUGAGUAAAGUAUCGGAACGUGCCCAGUCGUGGGGGAUAACGUAGCGAAAGUUACGCUAAUACCGCAUACGAUCUAUGGAUGAAAGCGGGGGAUCGCAAGACCUCGCGCGAUUGGAGCGGCCGAUAUCAGAUUAGGUAGUUGGUGGGGUAAAGGCUCACCAAGCCGACGAUCUGUAGCUGGUCUGAGAGGACGACCAGCCACACUGGGACUGAGACACGGCGCAGACUCCUACGGGAGGCAGCAGUGGGGAAUUUUGGACAAUGGGCGAAAGCCUGAUCCAGCCAUGCCGCGUGCAGGAUGAAGGCCUUCGGGUUGUAAACUGCUUUUGUACGGAACGAAAAGGUUUGGCCUAAUAAGCUGAGCUCAUGACGGUACCGUAAGAAUAAGCACCGGCUAACUACGUGCCAGCAGCAGCCGCCGUAA
rnacentral:rRNA from 1 species